rnacentral:lncRNA from 1 species
GAGCGACGCCUGCACCGCUUCGGCCGCAGAGAAGGCGAGCAGCGAGCCCUCCUUGGCCAAGAAGGCUUUGCCGUCCUCCGCAUCCGCUUGGAGCGCCUCGGCUUUGUCGAAGUUGCCGCCUCCGGGCAGCGGCUGUGGAGCGAACUUGCGGGCAGCCGCCGCCUCUUGGUGCUGGGGCGACGCAGAGAAGCCGCCGGGCAGAGUGGCCAUGAGCGUGGAGCGGGCGCUGCAUCAUCAUCAGCGACGGCGGGAACGCUGCGCUCAUAGACGCGUUCGGGAGAAGCCAGGGAGAGACAGAAAAGUCCCCGUGUCCCGCCGCCGCCUGGAAGCCCUCCGGACGCUAGGAGUACCACCGGGAACUCCGGGCAGACGCCGCCGCCGCCGCUGCCCCUCAGUGCAGGACCCGCAGCAUACCCGGCCUGCGCGGGUGCAGCCACCGAGCGCGGUGAGGCCGUGCGCCCGGGAUGGAGAGGGCACCGGGGACCUCGCGUUCGCCGGAACCGCUCCCCGCUGCUAGCACGUCGGAACGCGCGCGCGUCGCCUCUGCAGCUCUCGGCUCAGCUACCAGCGGUGCGUGCGUCCGUCUGUCCGUCCCGCAGUCCGUCGUCUCCCACGGGUGGCUGGGGAGCGCGCGAAGCCGGCGCACUUGUCUCUGGCGGGCGCUGCCAGCACCUUUAAAUCGCGCUCCUCUUUCUCAUUCACAUUUUGCCAGCUGCCCAGCGGAGCUCGUGUCACGUGGGGUCGAGCACCAACUCCUAUUUGCUAUUCCGGGGAAGGCGGGGCGAAAUUAGGGCUCCGCCCCCUUCACCCAGGCGGGCCGCUAGCGGGCUGCGGGCGCCACCGUUGGAGCGUGCUGGCCUGGGAGCUGGAGCUUUUGCACCGCGCGGAGCAAACUUAAGAGGGACCCUUGCUACCUACCAGACUCAGACCCUAGAGUCCCUGGCAUCCCUGUGGAGGCCUCAUGAGAGGCGGCUUGGAGCUGGCGCCGGCCACCGAUGGGCCGGGAGUGUUUUACUUCCUUAUGGUCGCUACAGCAGAACCCUGUGUGAUGCUCACCUUAACCAGGGGCGCUCUGGUUGUGCCAAGGGUCCGAGCAAGGUCUCCGGAUUGCUUUUAGGGUCUUGCCUCUGCAGGUCUGCUUCCAGAGGUGCGCCUGGGCCUGUCAGCCCUUGCUCACACUACACGGAAGCUGCACGGUCGCUUGCGGCCCGCUGGUGGCGGGGCGGCCGGCUGGUGGUCUCCCUCAUUCCUGGUUGGGCCCUCCGUGAGCGAUCCCUGCUCAUUUUUCAUGACAUUCUUAAUCAUCGCACCUAUUUACCCACUUUGCCAGCGUACACCAAAAUAACAGCCACGAUAAUUAUG